UACUGUAUUACGGGGCAAUACUCCACUGGCAGUAGCCACUACAACUGCGGAUUGUGAACAUUUAUUUCACAUGGCAGAUUAGUCACGAGCUCACUGCCAAGGGAGAUUUGCCCCGCAAUUCAGCU
rnacentral:pre_miRNA from 1 species